UGAGCGCUUGGCACGGCGCCCAGCCGCCUUUCACUGCUGCCUUUUCAUUUGCAUUAAUUCACUGCGUUUCCUUUCUUGCUCCUUGCGAGGAACAGAGGGAGAGCUUGUUCCAGCAGACGGGCCCCAUCCGUUCCACCCGGCUCUGCUGGAGCGAGGGCUGGAAAAGAGGGAUGGAAGCGAAGGGGUAUCUCCCACCCCUCCGGGGCCCCGCGUGCCGCCUGCGUGCUGCUUCCCAGCAAAUACGCCCGCUGCUUCCCAAGGAUGAGGACCCAGACCCUCUGGGCUCAUGCAGGAGAUGCCAUGGACUGGCUGCCAUCCACAGGCUUCUCUCAUGAGGAGAUGUCAACUGGCAAGCUGCUGGUCCUCGUACCGCUCCGGUUUUUUGAAAUCUAUUCAGCUUUACUAGAGAGCAGGAAACCAGUACAGCAUUAGGUGCCCAGGACGAGAAUAGUAGCACUGCAAAGAGCAGUAGGCAUGCAGCAGCAUGUACAGGAAUCAAUGAUGUUUGUGCUGUUAGUUGAUCCAGGAAAGGACUGAUGUUGAUAGCAAGAAAAUUUUCAAGAUCUGCGAGGAGAAUUGCAUGGCCAGUAUCAUUGUAUUCAAAUAGUAAUUUGGUUUCUAAGCCUCCUAUAGAGUGCUAAAAUACCACCCCGGCCAUCAGAGAACCUGGGAUGUAUGGCACAGAGACCUGGAGCCAGCAAUCCUGACACACCUUCAGCUCGGUUGUGCCAGAUGCGAUGUAGGAGGCUGGAAAACCUCAGGUAAUUGCUUGGACCACAUUCAAACCACUUCCUAUGGGGUCUGAUAAAGCCUUAAACAUCAGCGGCACUGGGGGAUGGGUGUGAGCGGUAUCAUCCAGAACAGCGACAGACCCAGCGCGCUCUGCAGCCCGUGAGGAGCUGCAGGACCCCGUUCAAACAACCCUUAGAUGGUGCUUUUGUUUAUUCCCGCUGAUGGAGUACAGAACUAGGGGUCUGGCAGCCCUGGAAAUGCAAAGUCCUGAAGUAACCGUGGUUUUCAUGAUAACAGUAGGUACCCAAGUCUGGAACAAGCUCCACAGCUGGCAGUUUGAGAAGAGCUCGUGGUUUUACAGUGCUGUAUGUGGUGGGAAAAUUUCUCCCAGCCCUACACCGUGACCAGUUCUCCCUGAUGUUUCCAGCUGGAAAACCGCAGAGAAAAAAGCCUCAUGGUGCAACAUCCUAAGCCAUUUGCUACAAAAUAAAGCAAUUAAGGACCGGAAACACUCCCAAACAAAGCGCUACAGAGACCUGACGCUGUUGUUCGUUUCGUCUGGACCUGAGCCAGGGCCUGUGACUAGACCUGUCGUAUACCCACACCUUCAAAGCCAGAGCCUGGGCUGUGCUUAUGUUCUCCUAUCACAGAGUGAGAGCUUUCCUGGAGCCGCCGAAAGAGCCUGAACACUUUCUUCUGUAAUCUGUCAUGACUGUCAGAAUGCCAAGAGACAUGCCAGACCUAGACCCUGGGCCAAAAUAACUAUGUAGACAUGCCCAGAAAGGAGAGCUGGCACAAGGUAUUGUAUAAAGUGAGAUAUGUGAAGCCGCAGGCGAAUAGUUUGGUAAUCACACGGGUAGGUUAGGCUUGGCAGAGGGCAAAGCACGUCUGCUCAUCAAGAAAAGAAGAGGCAAAACUUUAUCAGCUUGCAAUAAGGUUGGAGUCCUUCUUAGUGAGAGCUCAGGAGAGCUUCAAGGGGUUAAACAAGAAUAGUUACCCCGGAAAGGUUGAGGUGAAGGACUCCAUGAUAUCCCAGUGAGGCCACAAACAUCUUUCCAGAAGAGGUUAUGUAGGGAAAAAAGAUCACACUCCCCUUAAUGAAUCCCAUUUCAUGAUAAGGUUCAGGAGUGACUGGAGGAAGGAGCAUGCACCUUGCUCAGUGUUUGUGCAGGGGGAUCCUUCAUCUGUGUCUUCACCUCAGUAUUGACGUGGAAAGUUAAACCUCAAAGGAUGGGAGAGGGCAGUUCAGCUGUGGGUUACAAUGGCACAGCAAGUCAGCGAGGCAGACCACAGACACACUGCUCAAAAGCAUUGCACCUAAUCAGCUCGGAGAAGAUGGUGAUAUAUUCCUGAAGAGGUUGUUACCGGUGCUCAUGGCCAUCCAGUCCCCUGCUGAACAGUUUUGAUCAAAGUCUUUCCAAGCUGAUCUAUUUUCAGCCCAACCCACUCAAUACCUUGAUUGCUACACAGCUCUUUUAGCUGCUCUUAGGUAAACAUGCUGUCGCUCCUUGGCAUUUUGCCUCGCUAAGCCCAAAAAUACAAGUGGCACAGAAAAUAAGAGAAGCUGUUCUCCUUCGCCAGGAAAAAUGAUGCUAUUUCUGAAAUAAACUGUUUUUAAUACACCUCACCGGCCAUGCACGUAUACAUGUAUUUAUAAAUAUACUUGAACUGGAGAUCCAGCUGUUGGCAUCGUGUAUGCCUAUAUGGAGACAGAAACAGAAAGGGAAUUAUGUGUGUACAAACCUGGACACACCUUCAGUCCAGCCUGUGUCUGAAUGCAGAGUCUUGGUUA